AAUUUCAUUUGAAGGGAAAAUCCUUUUUUGUCGUUUUUUCUACAACAAAAAAGAUUGGAAUGAUAGCAGGAUUAGCU
rnacentral:sRNA from 1 species